UACAGAGGUCCCGAGCGUUGUUCGGAUUCACUGGGCGUAAAGGGUGCGUAGGUGGUGAGGUAAGUCGGAUGUGAAAUCUCCAGGCUCAACCUGGAAACUGCAUUGGAAACUACCUUGCUGGAGGAUUUGAGGGGGGAUUGGAAUACUUGGUGUAGCAGUGAAAUGCGUAGAUAUCAAGUGGAACACCGGUGGCGAAGGCGACAUCCUGGACCGGUAUUGACGCUGAGGCGCGAAAGCCAGGGGAGCAAACGGG
rnacentral:rRNA from 1 species